UUUCUAAAUGUAAUCCAUUACAGUUACUAGUUACCUCUCCAAAAUUGUCAUCAGUAACACAACUUUUGGAUUAACCAAACUCAGUAACAUAAACUGAUUCCUUUCAGUUACUUUUUAGAUUAUUUCCACUUAAGAGGCAUUAGAAGAAAACAAAAAUGUAUGUUACUAAUUGAACAUCUAUUGCAAGAUAAACCAAUGUUAAAGUUUACAUAGCUGGCCAAAUAUGGAUGUUCUACUACAUAUAAUAACAUGAUUACAUUAUAUCUUUACAUUAAUAUAUAUCAUUUAUAAAUCCAAAAAUGGAUGUAACAACUACAGAUUGCCCCUUUAAGACUAUCAAAAGCCCCACUUUUAUUCCAUACUAUGCAGAUGUUGGGACAAUUUUUUUAGAGAACCAGUUACAGUAAAAUAAUAAUUUUAUUCCAUAUAAAACAAAUACUGUAUGAAGUGAAAAGUUGUGUUUUUCAGCAAAGCCCAGAACAUUAAAGCCUGUUUGUGAAAAGCCACCAAUUUCACAGGAAGUUUAAUCACAAUAUAUGGACAUUGUAGUAAGAAAUUAAGCCCUCCAAACUUAUGAAUAACCAUAUGAGGUAUAAUAUUCCAGAAACUAUGAGGAUUUCUCAAGUACCUUUUAACACCGUUUAUCUUACAUGGCUUGUUUUUCCAUAUGAAGUUGUACAAUGGCCUAUCUAAGGUACAGCAAGUGGAUUUGGAAUGUCAAUAGAUUAAAAAAGAUAGGAUGCACAAGAUAGCCCCUCAGCUUUGGAUAAAAGCACCCUCCCUUGAAGACAUGUAUCCCUCCCUAACCAUGAGGAUACUUCUUUUGAUAGAUUCAGUUACAGGAUUCAAAUUAAGAUCAUUCACAGCCUUAAGAUUUUUGGUGAUCUUUACACCGAGAUAGGUUGCAGUAUCUUUUUCAGAGAUGUUACCAUCUGCUGGAUUGACAGCUCCUUUCAGAACAAACAUCUCACAUUUGGAAGGAUUUAAUACUAAACCUGAGAUUUUGGAGAACUGCUUCACAAUAUCCAAUGCUAAUCUAGCUUGUGACACAUUUGUCAAGGUGUCACCCGCCAGUUGGGAUAUCUUGCUCUCUCUGGCCUGGAAUGUAAUGCCUUCAAAUUUCAGCAGUUCCCAAUAUUUCCCAUAUUCUGCAUUAGAGGUUUACAUGCAUUAGAGGUUUAGACCCCAGUCUACAGAAACUUUUUUCUAUUUUGUCAUUUAAUUGUAUUUAUUUAUAAUAUAUAUAUAUAUAUAUAUAUUUUUACACCUUUUUACCCCCAUUGUUGUGGUAUCCAAUUGGUAGUUACAGUCUUGUCUCAUCGCUACAACUCCCAGUUGAGAGCCGUACGAAACACAACCCAACCAAGCCACACUGCUUCUUGACACAAUGUCCACUUAACCCGCAAGCCAGCAGCACCAAUGUGUCGGAGGAAACACCGUACACCUGGCGAACGUGUCAGCGUGCACUGCGCCCGGCCAGCCACAGAUGUCGCUAGUGUGGGAAGGGACAAGGACAUCCCUGCCGGCAAACCCUCCCUAACCCGGACGACCCUGGCCCAAUUGUGCACCGCUCCACGUGUCUCCCGGUCACGGCUGGCUGCAACAGAGCCUGGACUCAAACUCAGAAUCUCUAGUGGCACAGUGAUGCAGUGCCUCCCGUCUGUCCUGACCUGCCGGAGCCGCCCGUCUGUCCUGAGCUGCCGGAGCCGCCUGUCUGUCCUGAGCUGCCGGAGCCGCCCGUCUGUCCUGAGCUGCCGGAGCCCCCCAUCUGUCCUGAGCUGCCGGAGCCGCCCGUCUUUCCUGAGCUGCCGGAGCCGCCCGUCUGUCCUGAGCUGCCGGAGCCGCCCGUCUGUCCUGAGCUGCCGGAGCCGCCCGUCUGUCCUAAGCUGCCGGAGCCGCAUUCUGUGCAUGAAAACGAGUUGUCUCUCCUUGAAUGACAACAAUAACUUUAUUGAAGAACCCUACUGUUGACCAAUCAUUGACGAAGGGGCGUAUAAUGCGGCUUGGAACUUCAACUUGCCUCCAGAACAUUUUUUGUGUGCCCGAACAGCCGAAAAAUUCCUAACCGAAGUCCAAAAACGUCACAAAAUGUCAUCAUAAUAUAUUUACAAACUCUUCUGAGCUGUUCGUCUGGGAAGCAUGCGGACGCCUUUAGAUGACAAUGAAGCGUUUUAGGAUGCAAACAAAUAUAUUUGCAGUUUGGAUUAGGAGUGUUUUUAGCUCCUUGGAGGCCAUCUUGUUGUGAGAUUUCUUGUCACUGUGUAUCUAGCCCUAUUGGAAAGCCCGGCCCUCGAUUCUCCAGUGGCUUGUGUACUGUAGCAUGGUUCUCACUUAGUAGUAAAAUGUUUGUGUGUGUAUUGCAGAGUAGCAUUUUACAGUGGGGACAGUCACCCAGAGGAGGCAGCAGACCCAGAUCAGGGAGUUGGAGGUGAUGAGCGGUCAGACAGGCUAACAGACUGGAGGAAGUUGGCCUAUCUGCUCUGUCUCAGGCAGUUCCCUAGCGAAGACGCCCUGCUGCGGCACCAACAGCUUCAGACCUGCAGGAUGGCAAGCAGCAGGAUGACACUUUAAUCUCUAUGAGUCUGGGUGGAAAUAUUUUGGGUUAUUUUUAGCCCUGCCAUCUGCUCAGGGUGUGCAAUUGUCCUUUAGCAUAAACAAGGUGAGAACAUACAUUCUGUUGCACUUUCAUGCCAAGACUGGUCGUGCCUUUUAAAUGUGUGAAUUGCAUAGUUCCCGGGGGGAAUUAACCUUUUUAUUCUGUUAAUCGUUUUAGCAAAACUUGGAAAUUCACAGACGAUCCAAACUAUAGGAAGCCGAGCUGGAGGAGUUGGAGAGAAAAUAUAUAGAGAGACAGAGCAGCUGAAAGAAGGGAUAAGAAUGGUGUUCCUGAACCACCAGCGCCCAAGAAGAAGAAAUUCUAUUAGCCUCCUAUUCCUCCCUAUCUCAAAAGCAGGGGUCUCAUAUUCCCCUAACAUAUGUUAUUGUCCAACUAUAGCCUUGAUCAAUUCAAGUUAACAGAACUAACAAAUGAAUUACAUUUGAUUAAUAUAAUUUGAUUAAUUCCCAUCUCUUCUCAACCACCUGACACACAGGAACUAUGAGCAGCCCACCAAAGACGGUCUGACUAAUGACAACAUUGGGAACAAGAUGCUGCAGGCAAUGAGCUGGCAAGAAGGCAUCAUUACGGACCAAGGGCACACGCCUGGGCAUCAAGGGAAGCAACUACGAACUCUACGCAUCGGACACCUACAAGGACACCGUGCUCAAGGCCAUCUUUGCACGCUUCAUAGAGCUUGCAUGAACAGGGACUACAGCCGCCCCCUCCUUCCUCACCCCUACACCCUUGUUAUCCCAUUAUCCCCACCACUGUGAAAAUUAUAAGAACAAGAGGAGCAUGUACAUUUGUUAUUUAAGUGUUUUGUUUGGUUUACUUGAUUUGUUCUUCCUUUCUGUGGCCAUGUACAACAGCUACAAAUAAUUAAGAUAUCAGGCAUUCUAUUAACCACAGGCCAAGCUAGUUCUUGUCCAUUUCGUGUAUUUUUUUCCUUCCAUAUAUACUGAACAAAAAUAUAAAUGCAACACGUAUUGUUGGUCCCAUAUUUCAUGAGCUGAAAUAAAUGAUCCCAGAAAUGUUCCACAUGCAUUUCUCUAAAAUGUGGUGCACAAAUUUGUUUACAUCCCUGUUAGUGAGCAUUUCUCCUUUGCCAGGAUAAUCCAUCCACCUGACAAGUGUGGCAUGUCAGGAAGCUGAAUAAACAGCAUGAUCAUUACACAGGUGCACCAUUGUGAGGCCCAUUUUUUAAAGGUCUCUGUAACCAACAGAUGCAUAUCUGUAUUUCCAGUCAUGUGAAAUCCAUAGAUUAGGGAUAUGAACUGUAACUCAGUAAAAUCUUUGGAAUUGUUGCAUGCUGUGCUUAUAUUUUUGUUCAUAUAAAAUGCUGUCAUUAGCAUUCUGUACCGUUUGUAUAGUUAAUACAUUUGUACAGAGUCCAGAUGUGGCUGUUCUGAGCU